UACGUAGGGUGCAAGCGUUGUCCGGAAUUAUUGGGCGUAAAGAGCUCGUAGGCGGUCUGUCGCGUCUGCUGUGAAAACUCGGGGCUUAACCCCGGGCCUGCAGUGGGUACGGGCAGACUAGAGUGCGGUAGGGGAGACUGGAAUUCCUGGUGUAGCAGUGAAAUGCGCAGAUAUCAGGAGGAACACCGGUGGCGAAGGCGGGUCUCUGGGCCGAUACUGACGCUGAGGAGCGAAAGCGUGGGGAGCGAACAGG
rnacentral:rRNA from 1 species